GUGGGGAAUAUUGGACAAUGGGCGAAAGCCUGAUCCAGCAAUGCCGCGUGAGUGAUGAAGGCCUUAGGGUUGUAAAGCUCUUUUACCCGGGAUGAUAAUGACAGUACCGGGAGAAUAAGCUCCGGCUAACUCCGUGCCAGCAGCCGCGGUAAUACGGAGGGAGCUAGCGUUGUUCGGAAUUACUGGGCGUAAAGCGCACGUAGGCGGCUUUGUAAGUUAGAGGUGAAAGCCUGGAGCUUAACUCCAGAACUACCUUUAAGACUGCAUCGCUUGAAUCCAGGAGAGGUGAGUGGAAUUCCGAGUGUAGAGGUGAAAUUCGUAGAUAUUCGGAAGAACACCAGUGGCGAAGGCGACUCACUGGCCCAAUACUGACGCUGAGGCGCGAAAGCGUGGGGAGCAAACAGGAUUAGAUACCCUUGUAGUCC
rnacentral:rRNA from 1 species